UAAGUAUAAGCAAUUAUACCGUGAAACUGCGAAUGGCUCAUUAAAUCAGUUAUCGUUUAUUUGAUAGUACCUUACUACUUGGAUACCCGUGGUAAUUCUAGAGCUAAUACAUGCAAAAAACCCCGACUUCGGGAGGGGUGUAUUUAUUAGAUAAAAAACCAAUGCCCUUCGGGGCUCUUUGGUGAUUCAUGAUAACUUAACGGAUCGCAUGGCCUUGCGCCGGCGACGGUUCAUUCAAAUUUCUGCCCUAUCAACUUUCGAUGGUAAGGUAUUGGCUUACCAUGGUUUCAACGGGUAACGGAUUUUUAGGGAAAGAUCCCGGAGAGGGAGCCUGAGAAACGGCUACCACAUCCAAGGAAGGCAGCAGGCGCGCAAAUUACCCAAUCCCGACACGGGGAGGUAGUGACAAUAAAUACUGAUACAGGGCUCUUUUGGGUCUUGUAAUCGGAAUGAGUACAAUUUAAAUACCUUAACGAGGAACAAUUGGAGGGCAAGUCUGGUGCCAGCAGCCGCGGUAAUUCCAGCUCCAAUAGCGUAUAUUAAAGUUGUUGCAGUUAAAAAGCUCGUAGUUGAACCUUGGGCCUGGCUGGCUGGUCCGCCUCACCGCGUGUACUGGUCCGGCCGGGCCUUUCCUUCUGGAGAACCGCAUGCCCUUUACUGGGUGUGUCGGGGAACCAGGACUUUUACUUUGAGAAAAUUAGAGUGUUCAAAGCAGGCCUUUGCUCGAAUACGUUAGCAUGGAAUAAUAGAAUAGGACGUGCGGUCCUAUUUUGUUGGUUUCUAGAACCGCCGUAAUGAUUAAUAGGGAUAGUCGGGGGCGUCAGUAUUCAAUUGUCAGAGGUGAAAUUCUUGGAUCUAUUGAAGACUAACUACUGCGAAAGCAUUCGCCAAGGAUGUUUUCAUUAAUCAGUGAACGAAAGUUAGGGGAUCGAAGACGAUCAGAUACCGUCGUAGUCUUAACCGUAAACUAUGCCGACUAGGGAUCGGGCGAUGUUUCUAUAUUGACUCGCUCGGCACCUUACGAGAAAUCAUAAGUUUUUGGGUUCUGGGGGGAUGUAUGGUCGCAAGGCUGAAACUUAAAGAAAUGA
rnacentral:rRNA from 1 species